rnacentral:rRNA from 1 species
GACAGAGGGUGCAAACGUUGUUCGGAAUUACUGGGCGUAAAGCGAGUGUAGGCGGUGUGGUAAGUCGGAUGUGAAAGCCCCGGGCUCAACCCGGGAAGUGCACUCGAUACUGCCACGCUAGAGUAUCGGAGAGGUUGGUGGAAUUCCCAGUGUAGAGGUGAAAUUCGUAGAUAUUGGGAAGAACACCGGUGGCGAAGGCGGCUCACUGGCUCGUAACUGACGCUCAUGCACGACAGCGUGGGGAUCAAACAGG